GACGAACGCUGGCGGCGUGCCUAAUACAUGCAAGUCGAGCGCAGGAAACUGACGGAACUCUUCGGAGGGAAGGCAGUGGAAUGAGCGGCGGACGGGUGAGUAACACGUAAGGAACCUGCCUCAAGGAUUGGGAUAACUCCGAGAAAUCGGAGCUAAUACCGGAUAGUUCAACGGACCGCAUGGCACGCUGAUGAAAGGCGCUCCGGCGUCACCUUGAGAUGGCCUUGCGGUGCAUUAGCUAGUUGGUGGGGUAACGGCUCACCAAGGCGACGAUACAUAACCGACCUGAGAGGGUGAUCGGCCACACUGGGACUGAGACACGGCCCAGACUCCUACGGGAGGCAGCAGUAGGGAAUCUUCCACAAUUGACGAAAGUCUGAUGGAGCAACGCCGCGUGAGUGAUGAAGGUUUUCGGAUCGUAAAACUCUGUUGUAAGGGAAGAACACGUACGAGAGGAAAUGCUCGUACCUUGACGGUACCUUACGAGAAAGCCACGGCUAACUACGUGCCAGCCGCCGCCGUAAAAC
rnacentral:rRNA from 1 species